rnacentral:tRNA from 1 species
ACAUCUUUAGUUCAACGGUUAGAACGGUUAGCUUCGAACUAACAAAUACGAGUUCGAUUCUUGUAAGAUGUC